rnacentral:rRNA from 1 species
UACGUAGGGUGCAAGCGUUGCCCGGAUUUAUUGGGCGUAAAGGGCUCGUAGGCGGUUUGUCGCGUCGGGAGUGAAAACUCAGGGCUUAACCCUGAGCCUGCUUCCGAUACGGGCAGACUAGAGGUAUGCAGGGGAGAACGGAAUUCCUGGUGUAGCGGUGAAAUGCGCAGAUAUCAGGAGGAACACCGGUGGCGAAGGCGGUUCUCUGGGCAUUACCUGACGCUGAGGAGCGAAAGUGUGGGGAGCGAACAGG